rfam:Felis catus isolate Cinnamon breed Abyssinian chromosome A1, whole genome shotgun sequence.
GCCUGGGUGGCUCAGUCGGUUAAGCGUCUGACUUCAGCUCAGGUCAUGAUCUCACACUCCGUGAGUUCGAGCCCCGCGUCGGGCU